rnacentral:rRNA from 1 species
CCUACGGGGGGCAGCAGUGGGGAAUAUUGGACAAUGGGGGGAACCCUGAUCCAGCCAUGCCGCGUGUGUGAAGAAGGCCCUCGGGUUGUAAAGCACUUUCAGUGAGGAAGAACGCCUGGUGGUUAAUACCCAUCAGGAAAGACAUCACACACAGAAGAAGCACCGGCUAACUCCGUGCCAGCAGCCGCGGUAAUACGGAGGGUGCGAGCGUUAAUCGGAAUUACUGGGCGUAAAGCGCGCGUAGGUGGCUUGAUAAGCCGGUUGUGAAAGCCCCGGGCUCAACCUGGGAACGGCAUCCGGAACUGUCAAGCUAGAGUGCAGGAGAGGAAGGUAGAAUUCCCGGUGUAGCGGUGAAAUGCGUAGAGAUCGGGAGGAAUACCAGUGGCGAAGGCGGCCUUCUGGACUGACACUGACACUGAGGUGCGAAAGCGUGGGUAGCAAACAGGAUUAGAUACCCUUGUAGUC